rnacentral:lncRNA from 1 species
CAAUUUAGAAGAUAGUUUCUCUUUCUUAUCUUUAACUCUGGGGGAUAAAAGCCUGAAGUUCAUGGAAGUCAUCUAGUGAAGAAGGCUUAUUGAAGAAAGACUGCAGGGGUAUACUUCAAAAUACUCAUAUGUCCAAGUGUUUCAAUUCUAGAGGCUUGCUGUCUUUGUCAUUUCAUAGCUCGCCUUGGGAAGCUUAAGGUACUGUGACCGAGCUUUCAUGGAAAUCAGGAAGAUUCUGAGAGAAUCCAAAUGUGACCAUCUGGGAGAGUUAAGAGAAGAAAAUACACCAUGUGGAGAGACAAGGACUGCCACUCCUGGAGUUCCAAAUGGACAGAAGGAGAGAGCUUCCUCGCAUCUUUGGGAAAAUCCUAUCUACAUAGCAUAAAUGCCCCAUACUCCACCCUGGAAGAGGCUAAUCAGGGGCACCUCCUCAUGGGUGCCAGAUAUUAGAAGAUUUUACAGGCUCCAUUGCGGCAGAAGGUAAUCAAAAAGGCCCAAGCCCCACCCUACAGAGAGCAGCAGCAUGACCUUAAACUGCCUUUGCUGGUCACUUGGAGAGGGAGGGUCCAUUUUCCUCAGUGGGCAACAAAGCCGCUGAUAAUCAGGUGCACACAUGACGUGGAUGUAACCUGCUGAGGAAGUGUCUGAUAUACCAAAGGAGCCAGGACUCACAACAAGCCUGGCCAGGAAAAAGAAGCCUCAGAGAACCCCAGAGCAGCCUCUACUUUGUAGAUGAUAUGAGUAAAUACAACGCAGACAGCCACUUAGCAAGUUCAGAGCCACUUCCAAACGACGCUGAGGGCCUGGUGUCAGCUCCUGCACAGCAGGCUCCAUUCUCUCCCCUUCAGGCUGUGUGCAUGUUCACUCCAGUGAGUCACAAAGACACAUUCCCAGGUGCGCACCUGGCCAAAAGCACAGAAGAGGAAGUCGCACAUGUGACCAUCCUCUGCCAACCAGCCCACGUGUACAGCAGAAAUCAGUAUUGUUUGCCUCUGUAAUAAAAUCAUUGCAUAAAUUUUGUAGAGCUUUGAAUCGGCCUCGUAAGUGUCACCAGGCAACUCUUCCAAGAAGGGUAGGGGGAUGGUGAGGUAGAGAACUCCAGGGACACAGAAAAGGACCAUGGUGUGUUUCUUGCAAAGCCCUUGUGCUGGAAAUGCUAUGAAGGCAAAAACUUUAUGCUGACCAUGAAACCCAAUCAAUAUAACACAAAAUUCAGGCCAGGUACAAUGGCUCACACCUGUAAUUCCAGCAUUUUGGGAAGCCAAGGCGGGCAGAUUGCUUUAGCUCAGGAGUUCGAGACAAGCCUGGGCAAACAUGGCGAAACCCCGUCUCUAUAGAAAAUACAAAAAAAGGCCAGGAGUAGUGGCUCAUGCCUGUAAUCCCAGCACUUUGGGAGGCCGAGGCAGGCAGAUCACCUGAGGUCAGGAGUUCAAGACUAGCCUGGCCAGCAUGGUGAAACCCUGUCUCUACUAAAAAAUACAAAAAUUAGCCAGGUGUAGUGGUGGGUACCUGUAAUCUCAGCUACUUGGGAGGCUGCGGCAGGAGAAUCGCUUGAACCUGGGAGUGGGAGGUUGCAGGGAGCCAAGAUCACACCACUGCACUCCAGCCUGGGCAACAAGAGUGAAACUCCAUCUAAAAAAAAGAAAAAAAAAGGAAAAGAAAAUACUAAAAAAUAGCCAGGUGUGGUGGUGCACGCCUGUGGUCCCAGCUACUUGGGAGGCUGAGGUGGGAGAAUCACUUGAGUCUGGGGUGCAGAGGCUGCAGUGAGCUGAGAUCAUGCCACUGCACUCCAGCCUGGGCAACAGAGCAAGACUGUGUCUCAAAAAAGAAAAAAAAUCCUCGAUAAAACUACAGAACCUUGCACUUGUAGCAACCAAUGCUUCCACUCCACACUGGAGUUCUCUCUGAAAGCAUUGCAAAAAUCCCUGUUAAGGUCAUGGGCCAAAACAUAAGGGAGACAAAACCACAAAGGGUGACAUCAGUUGCUUGUAAUGGUUUAGCUGCCAUGUGGUGGUAGCCAUAAGACGGCUGCUAAUCUGUAUCUU